AGUGAACGUUGGCGGCGUGGAUUAGGCAUGCAAGUCGAGCGAGAACCGUAGCAAUACGGGGACAGCGGCGUAAGGGACAGGAACACGUAGAUUAACUGCCCUCGGGUCUGGGAUAGCCACGGGAAACUGUGGGUAAUACCAGAUGAUAUCUCCGGAUCAAAGGUGUGAUUCCGCCCGAGGCUGGGUCUGCGUCCUAUUAGCUAGUUGUCGAGGUAAUGGCUCACCAAGGCGAUGAUGGGUAGCAGGUGUGAGAGCACGACCUGCGUCAUUGGGACUUGGACACUGCCCAGACACCUACGGGUGGCUGCAGUCGAGAAUUUUUGGCAAUGGGCGAAAGCCUGACCAAGCGAUGCCGCGUGCGGGAUGAAGGCCUUCGGGUUGUAAACCGCUGUCAGUGGGGAGGAAAGCUUUGCGAAGAGCAGGGCUUGACCUAUCCGCAGAGGAAGUGUGGGCUAAGUUCGUGCCAGCAGCCGCCGUAA
rnacentral:rRNA from 1 species